GAUGAAGAACGUAGCGAAAUGCGAUAAGUAAUGUGAAUUGCAGAAUUCAGUGAAUCAUCGAAUCUUUGAACGCACAUUGCGCCCGCCAGCAUUCUGGCGGGCAUGCCUGUUCGAGCGUCAUUUCAACCCUCGAGCCCCCCCGGGGGCCUCGGUGUAGGGGGACGGCACACCAGCCGCCCCCGAAAUGCAGUGGCGACCCCGCCGCAGCCUCCCCUGCGUAGUAGCACACACCUCGCACCGGAGCGCGGAGGCGGUCACGCCGUAAAACGCCCAACUUUCUUAGAGUUGACCUCGGAUCAGGUAGGAAUACCCGCUGAACUUAAGCAUAUCAAUAAGCGGAGGA
rnacentral:misc_RNA from 1 species